ensembl:rRNA 5S_rRNA 5S ribosomal RNA
AUCUAUGGCCAUAUUACCCUGAACGCACCUGAUCUUGUCUGAUCUCAGAAGCUAAGCAGGGUUGGGCCAGGUUAGUACUUGGAUGGGAGACCGCCGGGAAAACCAGGUGCUGUAGGCU